rnacentral:rRNA from 1 species
AUUGAACGCUGGCGGCAGGCCUAACACAUGCCAGUCGAGCGGAUGAAGGGAGCUUGCUCCUGGAUUCAGCGGCGGACGGGUGAGUAAUGCCUAGGAAUCUGCCUGGUAGUGGGGGAUAACGUCCGGAAACGGGCGCUAAUACCGCAUACGUCCUGAGGGAGAAAGUGGGGGAUCUUCGGACCUCACGCUAUCAGAUGAGCCUAGGUCGGAUUAGCUAGUUGGUGGGGUAAAGGCCUACCAAGGCGACGAUCCGUAACUGGUCUGAGAGGAUGAUCAGUCACACUGGAACUGAGACACGGUCCAGACUCCUACGGGAGGCAGCAGUGGGGAAUAUUGGACAAUGGGCGAAAGCCUGAUCCAGCCAUGCCGCGUGUGUGAAGAAGGUCUUCGGAUUGUAAAGCACUUUGAGUUGGGAGGAAGGGCAGUAAGUUAAUACCUUGCUGUUUUGACGUUACCAACAGAAUAAGCACCGGCUAACUUCGUG